AGGUUCAGAAGAUGGGCAGCUGAGGGCAGCCAUCCCUUAACUUAACCUGCAAGGACUGUCCAGUGCUUACAAGGGGCAGCAGCCAUGCCAGAUUACUGCAUCCCUGGCGCAGAGUAUACAGGAGGCACUAGCUUGUAACACAAGCGCUCAAGAUACACAGGAGUAUUUGUCUGAAAGUAUGUGUGUGUGACAUGUGUUUGUAAUGUCCAAGAAGUCUAGAAGGGUGCAUCAAAUUCCCUGAAAAUUGAGUUUUAGACAUUUGUGAACAGAUAUAUCAGUGCUGAAAGAGAACUUGAGAUCCUCUACAAGUACAGCAAGUGCUCUUAACCACUGAGCCAUCUGUCCAGCUCCAGCAAAGGAGCCAUUGGGGAUAUUGUGAUGACUCAGGUUGCACCCUCUGUACCUGUCACUCCUGGAGAGACAGUAUCCAUCUCCUGCAGGUCUAGUAAGAGUCUCCUGAACAGUAAUGGCAAGCAUUUGUUGUAUUGGUUCCUGCAGAGGCCAGGCCAGUCUCCUCAGCGCCUGAUAUAUUAUAUGUCCAACCUUGCCUCAGGAGUCCCAGAAUGGUUCAGUGGCAGUGGGUCAGGAACUGAUUUCACACUGAGAAUCAGUAGGGUGGAGGCUGAGGAUGUGGGUGCUUAUUACUGUAUGCAAAGUCU
rnacentral:lncRNA from 1 species